rnacentral:lncRNA from 1 species
GAAAAUUUUCGGAGAGGUGAUUCUCUUUUUUCGAUUAGACUCAACAUCUCGUGGUUUUUUUUCUUUCUGUUUUCUUUUGUUUUUUUUUAUUUUUUAAAAUUCAUUAGCAAAGAAGAAAAUAAAAAGAAUGGGAUAAAAGAGGGGUACCUAAACUGUUGAUAUGUCGUCGGAGUCUCUCCUUCGUCAAAAUCAAAUCCAGUAGAGAGCCCUUUCUUUUUUAUUCGUUAUGGUUGAAAAUGCCAAACCCUUGAACAAGGCUCUUAUGGGAGUGAAAAAGGGUGUUUAGUUUUUUUAUUUCUGCUUUUAAAUGACUAAGUGUUAAUUUUUUUAGGGUUUAUUUUUGGUUUUAUAAUGUAUUUGAAACGGCACCAUUUAGGGUUGUUUCAGUGGCUCCAAAACGGUGCCGUAUAAGGCAACCCGACUCGAUACCCAUGAGGAUCCGCACGUUUUGCUUAAACGGGAUGUCUGCACGAUUAGUCCCUUUCUUGUGCGCAGUCAUAUGAUUGUGCCCUAUUUCAAUUUUCUUAUUCUUAUUAGUCCGAAAGUUGAGCAUUGUUUCAAAUUAGUCCGCGUUUAAACACUGCGUUUUGGAGAUUUGGGGCAUUUGCAUUUUUAAUCAUCGUGUGUUUUCACGCACUUUAUUUUGAUCCUUGAUUUUGUUUAAUAACUUUAUUUGUUUGUAAAUCAUUACUUUGAUUUUGGUUUUUAUUUCAAUUGAGUC